rnacentral:tRNA from 1 species
GCGAGGGUUGCCGAGCCUGGCCAAAGGCGUUGGACUUAAGAUCCAAUCACGUAGGUGUCCGGGGGUUCGAAUCCCCUCCCUCGCA